rnacentral:misc_RNA from 1 species
GGAACCAAAUUGCCAUCAAUAGAACACUUGUUAAUGCCAGCUUCAUACCCUAAAGCAAAGGCUGAAUGUAUAAAACCUGAUUCCUGAAGGUAACGAAAGACGAGGUAAUUCAAUUCGACGGAAGUGAUGGACGUCAUGGCAACAGAACGCCGGCUGUGAGGCCGGAGAGGGGUUAAACGAUCAUGCGGGCGAGCUCGUGGAGUUGAAACAGAGAGAUUUUCAG